CAUCAGAGUCAAUAUCAACUCGUGUGCAUUCCCCAGGUUCGGCUGUCAGCGGACAUUGGUAGAGACCACCCGUCCGGUUUGCAUGUUGCGUUGGUAAUGCUGAAGCCUGUGGAGCACCCACCAAAAGCCUGAAAAAUAGAAGACACAUUUGAUUUUAUCUUACCGCCAUGUAAUGUGCAAAAUGAUAAUACCACCAAAAAUAU